GAUUAGAGUUUGAUCCUGGCUCAGAAUCAACGCUGGCGGCGUGCCUAACACAUGCAAGUCGAACGCGAAAGUGGAGCAAUCCAUGAGUAGAGUGGCAAACGGGUGAGUAACACGUGGGUGACCUGCCUUCGAGUGGGGGAUAACGUCCCGAAAGGGACGCUAAUACCGCAUAACAUGCUGUCUUUUAAGAGAGAGACAUCAAAGCCGGGGACCGCAAGGCCUGGCGCUUGAAGAGGGGCCCGCGCCUGAUUAGCUAGUUGGUGGGGUAAUGGCUCACCAAGGCAACGAUCAGUAUCCGGCCUGAGAGGGCGGACGGACACACUGGGACUGAGACACGGCCCAGACUCCUACGGGAGGCAGCAGUGGGGAAUUGUUCGCAAUGGGCGCAAGCCUGACGACGCAACGCCGCGUGGAGGAUGAAGAUCUUCGGGUCGUAAACUCCUUUCGAUCGAGACGAAUGGCCAUCGGGCUAACAUCCUGAUGGAGUGACGGUACCGAGAGAAGAAGCCCCGGCUAACUCCGUGCCAGCAGCCGCGGUAAAUACCGGGGGGGGCAAGCGUUGUUCGGAAUUACUGGGGCGUAAAGGGGCUCGUUAAGGCG
rnacentral:rRNA from 1 species